AGUGGCGAACGGGUGAGUAAUAUAUCGGAACGUGCCCAGUCGUGGGGGAUAACGUAGCGAAAGUUACGCUAAUACCGCAUACGAUCUACGGAUGAAAGCGGGGGACCGUAAGGCCUCGCGCGAUUGGAGCGGCCGAUAUCAGAUUAGGUAGUUGGUGGGGUAAAGGCUCACCAAGCCAACGAUCUGUAGCUGGUCUGAGAGGACGACCAGCCACACUGGAACUGAGACACGGUCCAGACUCCUACGGGAGGCAGCAGUGGGGAAUUUUGGACAAUGGACGCAAGUCUGAUCCAGCCAUUCCGCGUGCAGGAUGAAGGCCCUCGGGUUGUAAACUGCUUUUGUACGGAACGAAAAGGUCUCUAUUAAUACUAGGGGCUCAUGACGGUACCGUAAGAAUAAGCACCGGCUAACUACGUGCCAGCAGCCGCGGUAAUACGUAGGGUGCAAGCGUUAAUCGGAAUUACUGGGCGUAAAGCGUGCGCAGGCGGUUAUGUAAGACAGAGGUGAAAUCCCCGGGCUCAACCUGGGAACUGCCUUUGUGACUGCAUAGCUAGAGUACGGUAGAGGGGGAUGGAAUUCCGCGCGUAGCAGUGAAAUGCGUAGAUAUGCGGAGGAACACCGAUGGCGAAGGCAAUCCCCUGGACCUGUACUGACGCUCAUGCACGAAAGCGUGGGGAGCAAACAGGAUUAGAUACCCUGG
rnacentral:rRNA from 1 species